GGGUUGCCAAACCGCGAGUGGAGCCAAUCCCUUAAAGCCGAUCGUAGUCCGGAUCGUAGUCUGCAACUCGACUACGUGAAGUCGGAAUCGCUAGUAAUCGCAGAUCAGCAUGCUGCGGUGAAUACGUUCCCGGGUCUU
rnacentral:rRNA from 1 species